UACGUAGGGGGCGAGCGUUGUCCGGAGUUACUGGGCGUAAAGCGCUUGUAGGCGGUCCACCAAGUUUGGGGUGACAGUUGCCGACUUAAUCGGCAAAGUGCCUCAAAGACUGGCGGACUUGAGGGCCACAGAGGGACAUGGAACUCCAGGUGUAGUGGUGAAAUGCGUAGAUAUCUGGAAGAACACCAAAGGCGAAGGCAGUGUCCUGGGGAGUACCUGACGCUCAGGUGCGAAAGCCAGGGGAGCGAACGGG
rnacentral:rRNA from 1 species